UAUUACAUUCAUUCAGCCUUUAUAAUACAAUUCGAUUAUACAUUGAACUUCCAAAACAUAGUAUAAAGCUUACAUUCAUCCCAGAAUAUCUCACAUCCUAUACAUCAUCUACUCUCAAAGCAUAAAAGGUGACUCUAAUACAGAAAUAGGAAAGUAGACUAAUGCAACUAGGGCGCUAAGCCCUUACCGCGAUCCUCGCCGUGUGAACUCGCGCUCAGCCCUGUAGUAAAAUGGGGGUGAGAACUAACUUCCUUAGUUCCCAGUGGGUUCGGCCGCCGACUCCGCCGAUCUCCCCACUAGGUCCAAGUUGGGCACAAGUAAAUAAUCGAUAGAUAGAUAGAUAAGGAAAGCGGUAAAUGACAGGAGUAAAGCUACUCUACUAUGCCCAAUCAUAAAUAUAUGAAUGCAUGUACAAUGAAAUAGGUAAGCAACUAACCUGUUAUCAUGUCCAAAGGUAAAGC
rnacentral:lncRNA from 1 species